AUCAAGAAAGACGUGAAGAGUAUAUCAAAGCGGGAAAAGAAAAGAUAGUGGAGUAAAGUGCAAAAUUACGAUAUUUUGCACCGAGUGACUUCCAACAACUCGGAAAUUGGAACGAAGUCAGACAAUCAUCUACACUAUCCUUCACAUUUGGGGUAUUUUACUACUAGUGUUCCGAAAUUUUAUGGCAUGUAUAGACAAUUUAUGUAAUGUGGGAUCAUCAUGUAAAUAUAUGUUAUGGUUCCCUUUUAAAUGUAGUGUUUAUUAAUAGUUAAACUAUAUGUGUGUUUAUACAAAUGAAA